GGUCCAUGGCUCAGUGGCAGAGCACCUGCUUUGCAUGCUGAAGGUCCCAGGUUCAAUCCCCAGCAUCUCCA